GUGCAACUUUGGCAGCACAUAUACUAAAAUUAGAAUGAUACAGAAAAGAUUAGCAUGGCCCUGGUGUGAGGAUAACACAUAAAAAAUUAUUUUAGUUAAUAUUAUG